UACGUAGGCAGCAAGCGUUGUUCGGAGUUACUGGGCGUAAAGGGUGCGUAGGCGGCUUCUUAAGUCUGGUGUGAAAUCUCCCGGCUUAACUGGGAGGGUGCGCCGGAAACUGGAGUGCUCGAGCGUGGGAGAGGAAAGCGGAAUUCCUGGUGUAGCGGUGAAAUGCGUAGAUAUCAGGAGGAACACCAAUGGCGAAGGCAGCUCGCUGGGACGUGACUGACGCUGAGACGCGAAAGCGUGGGGAGCAAACAGG
rnacentral:rRNA from 1 species